UACGGACAUAUCAAGCUAAAACACUGGUUCCCAUACGACCAUCGAAGUUAAAUAACGUCGAGCCUGGUCAGUACCUAGAUGAGUGACAGCAUGGGCAGCAUAGGUGUUGAAA